rnacentral:lncRNA from 1 species
AUUGAUCACAUUUUAUAUUAGAUGGACAACAGGGGAGGAAAAAGAAUUGGUAAAUACAUUUUAUAUCAAAAUAAUAAAUAUAAGUGUUACCAUUCUAAUUUCCAUAACUGAUCUUGUGGCUGUACGUGGUAUUUAUAACUUCCCUUGUUGCUACCCAGUCCAUAUAUCCUUUGUCCUCAGCAAACAUGUCACUUGGUCACGGUGACUUAAAUCUUCAUUUUUGAAGGAUCCAGGCCUUGGCAACUGGACUUGUAUUGGGUCAUUUUCCAUAUACUUUGUUACAGUAAACAAGGUCCUCACAGAACGUGAGAGUAAAAGAGAUAUCCUUGAGUUCCAGACAUAGCUCUUACUAUGUUACAGUUUGCUAGUAGUUCAAUUUCCUUUCUGCUCCCCUCCACUCUACCCCUGUACUAGGAAUUGAACCCAGGGCUUUGCACAUACUAGGCAAGUAUAUAUCCCCAGCCCCCUCCUUCCUUUUGAAAGCCACAGUCAUUCCAUUCAGUAGAGCAAAACUCUGCUUUAUUUGUUGAUUCUUUAUCAUGAGGAGCCCAAAGUGGCCAGCACACAGUACCAACUUCCAGCUUAAUGUCAUCACCGUUACAUUUCCCUAUAGAAGCAUCUUUCCCUUGGCAACCAAGACUUCUAGACAAGCAGAGCAUAACAUUGAGGGUGGAGAGAACAAAUUUUGCAAGUGAAUCACUAGUGGCAAUAGUGAGAGGAAACUCAUUUCCACCCUUUGAUUCCUGGACCCAGGAAUAAUGAAGAAACAGUAAGAUAUAUUGGUUGCUGGUUUAGAGAAUCCACUGCAUCUUUCAGGACAUUACCUGAACCUGAUAAAGAGUUUCCUUCUGUCUAGCACACUAACAAAAUUGUCAAAAGAACCAUUUCACCUUCCAAUGAUGGAUAACACAGUAAAACUAAUGAAUUCUAUGAGUACAAAUGAGCCUAUUCCAACGCUUUAUUUACUGCAAAAUAAAUUCCUUGGUCAGAAGUAAAGCAUAUGGAAGAAUAUGAUGGCAAAUAAGAUGUAAGAAUUCUAUAAAUUCACAUUUGCACUUUUUUUGGCAAAAGUAUGACAGGUAGGAAAGACACCAUGAAGAUUAAUUUUCUAUGCACUGAUAACAAACCGCUGCCCUUUUAUGAUAGGAAGAGAGUCCAUUGUAACUAACUCACUCUCAGAUAGGGGCUGAUUCUUACAAAGGGUUGUGCUAUUUCAGGGGCUCAGUGUUGAUCUCACUUUUUUUUGAACUGGACAUUUCUCAAUGGCUAUCGUCAGAUUAGCCUUGGCGAGUGUAAAUUCAUGUUGCUGAACUCACACACACUGUCCACAUCUGCCACCAGAAUCACUUUCCUUACAAGCUAAUCAAACAAGGAAGGGAGUGACUGGAAAAAGAUCUGACAGAGGUCCACAAUGUGUCAUUUUUUCCCAUUAUUAAGAUCUUUCUAUCCUGAGGUUGAGCUGCGGUGAGCAUUCACAUGGGCCCUUCUGUGUCCAUUCAAGGAAGUCUGUGCAUAUUUCUUCUUUCCCAGUCUUUCCUCUGACCAAUAUAUAUCAUAUUACUCCACCAGUUACUUCCCAUGAAGCAAUGUAGAUUCAUAUCACUGGCUCUCUCUUUCUCCUUUCAGACAAAAUAAAUAGUCAAGUACACUGAUGAAAAGUUCUGUCCAUUGGGAAAAAAAAAUUCCUUCACCUAUCUGCCUGGGUCACCCUUGAGCAAGGCAGCAAUGAUGUAACCAUUUAGUUUUGGAUGAUACCAAGAUAUUAUGCAAAAUUUUCUUUAAACAAUGUCAAAUAUUUAUCUUUUAAGUCCGCUGUUCACUGAGAAGCUCAUAUGAGUCUAUGUGUGUAUGUUCCAAGAGAUUAUAGCAAACCAUGGGAAUCUGAGUCACUUAUUUAUUCAGUGUGCUUGUGCUUACUCUCUCAUAUAUUCCACUGCCACUUGAUAAUGAAAUGCUGUCAUCCAUGCCCAACUUAGAUUUGCUGGAUUGACAACACUUAGUCCAUCAAGAGAAAUUCAGGUGGUAUUAUAACUUGAUGGUCUAUGUUGAAGCUACCAGCUUCAAACUGCUAUUCUGAAAACACCAUAAUAGUUUUGCUCCAUAAUUCUAAGUGUCUGCUCUAUAAUUGACUUAUUGGAUGAAUGGUUUCAUGUACAAUUCCUGUCUAUACUUCUAGUGCUAUGGAGUAUACUGGCUCUAGAUGUAAAAACAACUGCAAGUCUUCUAAAGCACAUAAACUCUGAAAUUCCAUAUUGCUUCUGCCAAAUUUUGUGUACUAAAUGAGUCAUUAAUACAAGCACAGAUUCAAGGGGAGGGAAAUUAAACUCCAUCCCUCAAUAGGAUGAGUAGCGAACAAUUUGUGACCAUCUUUAAUCCACCACAGUUCACUUUGCACAUUACAGCCUACACAUGGAAAAUGACAUACAGGAGGGAGUGGGUUUGGAAUGAAUGUAAGGAAAACAAUUACAUUAAUUCCCUCCAAGAAUUGCUUCAAAUGGUAUUGCAAUUCAAGGCUAGCACUUGAACUCCUCUCUGGCCUCAAGGAUCUAUCUUCCUUCAUCCUCCAAACCAACCCCUGAGGAAUGGGGAUAGAGGUCAGUAGGGCAGAGUUAGAGCUCCCUGAUGAUUGAGUCUACUCCUUAUUCUGAUAGGAUCACCUUUCUAAGAACAACAUCACCCAUCAUCUUUUUUUUUCCGGAUCAGACUUCAAUGAUGUAAUGGAUUUUUAAAGUGGUUGGGUUCAGAGACAUUUUAUACUCCAUAACUCAAGGCUAAUUCUCCAUAUCAUCCUCGCUGCUUUUGGCUCUAUAUUCUCAAAAAGAAACCUGAAUGCUCCUGAAGAGGAGAUUCCACAGAUCCUAUCUGCCCUAUUUCUAUAUGCUCUCUCCAAAGAAUAAAAUCAUGUCCCAAAACUCAGUGAUCAACAUGCAGGUCCAGUAUUAGCAUUGGGAGUGACUUCUCACCAUGCGGAUGAUGCAUGUCCCACCUGGUUACCCUAAGCAUGAACUUUCAGACUUAUGCCUUCUAGAGAAUACUCGACUUUUUGUGAGUCAACUGUGGAAUUUUGGAAAUAGACUCUGCCUUGUCUUUGGUUUUCUCAGCUGCAGACUAUUAGCAGGGAUUAUAAAAUAGGAAAUUGAUGAGGUGAUCUUUGAUAAAACUGGUACUGGAGAUGGGGCUGGAGGCAGACGUUUAGGAAAAGAAGCCAAUAAAAAAAUUGUUAUUGACAGAGUUAUUGACAAGUAAUCAUUGUGAAAAAUUAGAGUUGAGUUCCAAGUUGUCCAAGGGGCGAGUUAGAUGGUACUUUUAUUUAUUGAUUCUCUUAGUCAUAGAUAAGGUAAAGGAAGAGGCAUCCGUUCCCAGCUACUUCCAGUCUUCUUAGAGGCAGGCAGAGUAGAGUGGCCAGUCGAAUUUCUCAAGCACAUAAUCACAGGUCCUGCUCUUCCAAGACAGGUCAGCAUGUCCAGGAAAUGGUAAGUAACAGGGAGCAAGGCAGAGGAUGGACUCCACGUGCUACAGGGUAUAGCAGGUGGAGUUUCUCAGACUCCCAUGCCUCUUUGGCCAGUUCCAGCCCUGGUGAGAACAGACAGUCAGAGAUUGAUGGGAAGUCUCUCUACCUAAGGUAGCAAAUCCACAACAACGUCUUCUUCAAUUCAUUACCAUUAUUUCUUAUAACUAGACCCCAAAUCAUUCUUUCACUUCUUAUUUUUCCCUCAUCUUUUUUACUGAGAGAGUUAAGCUUGAUUUGCUUCCAAAAGGUAUUUAUUUAUUUUCUGAUGAUUGACUUUGUAUAUAUUCAGACCCAAGGCUUUUAACUUUGCAAUUUCUUUCUCUUCCUAUACCUCCUCCUUUCAUGCAGUCAAAACAUGAACAUGUUUGUUCGUCCAUAACAGUAUUCCCUUAUGAUGCAGUAUAUUUGUGGGAAGGGGAUAAAUAGGGAGAUGUGGUGGAAGAGAAUUUUCUAAAAGCUGCUUGUCUUUGGUGCCAGAAUAAGGUUGAGGUUUUGAUCAUGAGGCUGCAGAGCACUCCUCAGACAUAUCUGACUUACGAUUGCCUAAGAAAUAAUGAGAUUAUAAUCAUUUGCUUCUGACUUAUGAUUGGAAGUUCAAAGUAGGGAGGGAGUACUUGAGUGGAUCAUCUUCAUCCUGAUAUUUAUCCUCUAGUGGGGAGCAUUAUCUCCUCUGGAUUAACAUCAACUGAAAUAUCCUAGAGGAUAAAACACAACACUCUUUUCUUAAGGGUUGCCCUCAUAUAGCGGAAACACAUAGCUAGUAGUUAUGAGUCCUCUGUGGCACUGACUAAGGAAUUUAACCUCUCUGAGUCUUCUUUUCCUACUUUACUGUGUUUGUUGUGAGGAUUAAAUGAACUAAUGUGGACAAAGCACCUAGCAUGUUCCUGAUAUAAAACCAGGAAUCUUGACAAAUGUUACUUCCAUCAGAGAAGUUUUUUUUUUUUUUUAAUAAUACCAAAUUUCAAAAAUCUACUAAAUCACUGGGGGUCCACUAAACAAUAAUUCACAUGAAUAAUAGCCUACUAAGCAGGAGAAGCAACUAGAGAGACAGAUCUGAAAGUAAAAAGAAUCCAAUUAUCCAUCCUUUAGUUUUUACUACUUAUAUGUGUCUAUUCCUAGAAGAUCAUCAGAAAGGCAUUUCCCUUCCAAUUUGAAUAUGAAUGGCUGGAAUGCUCAGGGAAUUUAUUUUUCCAAUGCAAGGUAGCACUGUGCCUUAACAUUUAUCAUUUGUUUAUUCAUUUAACAAACAUUUGUUUUUUUUAUAUCUUGCAGUGGCCUAAUGCAAGGCAAGAAUACACCCUCACAGGGUAGAAUCCCAUAUAGUGUUCAGGACAAAGAGGCCAUUGGAUCUGUCUUUUAGCAUCCAGUUUAGUGCCUUGCCUGUAUUUCAUGUGGUGUCUUAUUAUUGAUUAAUCGGAAUUUUGAUCUUAUUGGUGUCUGCCAUCUAAAAAAGUCAAUAAGUGUUGGAGAGGAUGUGGGGAAAAAGGUACACUCAUAUAUGGCUGGUGAGACUGCAAAUUGGUGCAGCCAAUAUGGAAAGCAGUAUGGAGAUUCCUUGGAAAUCUGGGAAUGGAACCACCAUUUGACCCUGCUAUCCCUCUCCUUAGACUAUAUCCAAAGGACUUAAAAACAGCAUACUACAGGGACACAGCCACAUCAGUGUUUAUAGCAGCCCAAUUCACAAUAGCUAAACUGUGGCGCCAACCUUGAUGCCUUCAGUGGAUGAAUGGAUUAAAAAAAUGUGGCAUAUAUACACAAUGGAAUUUUACUUAGCAAUAAAAGAGAAUAAAAUUAUGGCAUUUGCAGGUAAAUGGAUGGCAUUGGAGAAGAUAAUGCUAAAUGAAGUUAGCCAAUCCCCCAAAACAAAUGCCAAAUGUUUUCUCUGAUAUAAGGAGGUUGACUCAUAA